rnacentral:rRNA from 1 species
UGGGGAAUAUUGCACAAUGGGCGCAAGCCUGAUGCAGCCAUGCCGCGUGUGUGAAGAAGGCCUUCGGGUUGUAAAGCACUUUCAGCGGGGAGGAAGGCGUUAAGGUUAAUAACCUUGGCGAUUGACGUUACCCGCAGAAGAAGCACCGGCUAACUCCGUGCCAGCAGCCGCGGUAAUACGGAGGGUGCAAGCGUUAAUCGGUAUUACUGGGCGUAAAGCGCACGCAGGCGGUCUGUCAAGUCGGAUGUGAAAUCCCCGGGGUCAACCUGGGAACUGCAAUCGAAACUGGCAGGCUAGAGUCUUGUAGAGGGGGGUAGAAUUCCAGGUGUAGCGGUGAAAUGCGUAGAGAUCUGGAGGAAUACCGGUGGCGAAGGCGGCCACCUGGACAAAGACUGACGCUCAGGUGCGAAAGCGUGGGGAGCAAACAGG